ACUUCUUCCGUUCUUCAUAAAACCUCUCUUGGAUCACAAGCCAGGCUUCGGAGUGAAUUUCUUCUCAUGCGAGGCCAAGAAUCAAGGAUGGCAUCUAUUAGUCCAGCUGUGAGGAUUCUGGUGUUUUUUUUCAGAGUUGCAGCCUAUACUGAAGGCUUACAUAUUCAUCAGCAAAUAUUUCAGGGUCAUCACCAGUAAAGGAAGUUUUGUUUACAUAAUGGUUAAAGGAAGAAAUAAC